rnacentral:sRNA from 1 species
UAAAGUUAAGGCAGAAAAAUUAUUGGAAGAACUUGAUAAUGGAGUAUUAUUAUGUCAACUGAUUGAUGUUCUUCAAAACAUGGUGAAAACAUGCAACUCUGAAGAAUCAGGGAAUUUUCCAAUGAGAAAAGUGCCCUGUAAGAAAGAUGCUGCAUCAGGUUCAUUCUUUGCUCGGGACAAUACCGCAAACUUCCUUCACUGGUGUAGGGACAUUGGGGUUGAUGAAACUUACCUCUUUGAAUCGGAAGGUUUAGGUAAGUGAUGUUGUUGUCAUUCUUGUUUUCAAUGCUUACUAGGAUGUUUUAAUAUCCUUCACCUCUAAUUUUUCUUUCCAUAUAAGGACUCAAAUGCCUCAUCUCAUUUUCCUAGAAAAAUGUAUACUUUGAAUAUAUGUAGAACUAUUGGAGAAUCAGAUACUAAAUCAAAUAUAUUAACCUUUUCACUUAAAGAUUUUAUGCGUCUAGAAUGUCCUAAAAUUCUAAAUUCCUAAAUGAGUUGCUACAGGAAGGUUCUGGACUAAUGCUUUAGUAAUUAAUAUUUUCAUUAAGAAUUACUCUACCAAGCCUAAAAAGUAGUAACUUCCCUUUAACCGGAUAAUUACGGCAAUGACAGAAGGCCUAAUAAUGUAUUAUCAUGGUGUUUAGCU